rnacentral:tRNA from 1 species
GCUCGCAUGGCCCAGUGGUAAGGCGUUCGUCUCGUACUAUUUAAGAACUUAACGAAAGAUCCCCGGAUCGAUCCCGGGUGUGAGCA